CAUGUACUUCCUCCGUCCGGAAAUACUUGUCAUCAUAACGAACAAAAGGGGAUGUAUCUAUGACGUAUUUUAGUUCUAGAUACAUCCCUUUUUAUUCAUUUUGAUGACAAGUAUUUUCGGACGGAGGGGACACAAG
rfam:Triticum aestivum genome assembly, contig: Triticum_aestivum_CS42_TGACv1_scaffold_578224_7BL